UUACGAGGUCAGGACACUGUGAGGAUUGACAGAUUGAAAGCUCUUUCUUGAUUCAGUGGGUGGUGGUGCAUGGCCGUUCUUAGUUGGUGGAGUGAUUUGUCUGGUUAAUUCCGUUAACGAACGAGACCUUAACCUGCUAAAUAGUCACGCGAACCGGUCCGCAAGGGCUCAAAGUUCGCGGCUCGACUUCUUAGAGGGACUAUUCGCACCCGCCAGCGAAUGGAAGUUUGAGGCAAUAACAGGUCUGUGAUGCCCUUAGAUGUUCUCGGCCGCACGCGCGUUACACUGACGGAGUCAACGAGCGUUUUUCCUUGCCCGACAGGGCUGGGUAACCUCCUGAAACUCCGUCGUGAUGGGGAUAGAUCAUUGCAAUUAUUGAUCUUGAACGAGGAAUUCCUAGUAGGCGCGAGUCAUCAACUCGCGCUGAUUACGUCCCUGCCCUUUGUACACACCGCCCGUCGCUCCUACCGAUUGAACGGUCCGGCGAGAACUCCGGAUGGUC
rnacentral:rRNA from 1 species